rnacentral:rRNA from 4 species
UAAGUAAGCGGUGGAAAAUGAACCAAAUGGGAUUCUCUAAAUAAUUGCGAAUGAACAGGGAAUUGCUCAGCUUGAUAAAUGGGGCCUUCGGCUCUGAGUUGUAACAUUGAAAUGUUUAGCCAAUGGAGGCGCAGGUGCAAGCCUAUUGAAAGAAAGUGCCAAUGAGGGUGACAUUCCUUUUUGUCAUUUGCAGUCCUCUGUGCACGGUAUAUAUUUGACGAGUCACACUCCUCGGCAUUGGAAUGCAAAGUGGGUGGUAAAUUCCAUGUAAAGAUAAAUAUAUUAUUGGGACUGAUAGCAAACAAGUACCAUGAGGGAAAUAUGAAAAGGAUUUUGAAAAGAGAAUUAAAAGAGUCUGCAUUUGCUGAACAAAAAGCAAACAGAAUUGAUUUGCUUGGUAAGAUUGUUGCGCUUUAGUUUGCAUCUGGAUGCUGAAUGUGGGCGUGGUGGUUCUUAGCUUGAAUGUCAGCUUGUAGUUCUGCAAAUCAAUACUCUGUCACAUGAAUGGUAAUUUCCUGUGGGUAUUGGAAUGCAUAUGUUUAUAUGAUUUGUGAUUUGAUAAAUGUGUCUGGUGGAAUUUGUGUGUGCCCUUUUUGCCAUGGGAAACAUUUUUUUUUGAGCACCAGAAUCCUUACACAUUAAUGCUGGCCAAAUGCUUCUGCUUGACCCG